ACCUUGUAUCUGUGGGAUGUAGGGCGCCAGCAGCUUGCUUCUUUUUUUCUCAUAGCCCUUCUGAGUGAUGUCUCCUACAGACAGCUCCACCUCCAG